rnacentral:rRNA from 1 species
UGAGUAACACGUGGGCAAUCUGCCCUUCACUCUGGGACAAGCCCUGGAAACGGGGUCUAAUACCGGAUAACACUCUGUCCCGCAUGGGACGGGGUUAAAAGCUCCGGCGGUGAAGGAUGAGCCCGCGGCCUAUCAGCUUGUUGGUGGGGUAAUGGCCUACCAAGGCGACGACGGGUAGCCGGCCUGAGAGGGCGACCGGCCACACUGGGACUGAGACACGGCCCAGACUCCUACGGGAGGCAGCAGUGGGGAAUAUUGCACAAUGGGCGAAAGCCUGAUGCAGCGACGCCGCGUGAGGGAUGACGGCCUUCGGGUUGUAAACCUCUUUCAGCAGGGAAGAAGCGAAAGUGACGGUACCUGCAGAAGAAGCGCCGGCUAACUACGUGCCAGCAGCCGCGGUAAUACGUAGGGCGCAAGCGUUGUCCGGAAUUAUUGGGCGUAAAGAGCUCGUAGGCGGCUUGUCACGUCGGAUGUGAAAGCCCGGGGCUUAACCCCGGGUCUGCAUUCGAUACGGGCUAGCUAGAGUGUGGUAGGGGAGAUCGGAAUUCCUGGUGUAGCGGUGAAAUGCGCAGAUAUCAGGAGGAACACCGGUGGCGAAGGCGGAUCUCUGGGCCAUUACUGACGCUGAGG